GGCAGCUGAACCCCCUCCCUCUCCGUUUAUCUUCAAGAUCUCGCGAGACCUCUGUCAAUGAAGUCUUGCGGUGGUAACAGAAAGGGGUUCCCUAGGUCACGUGAGCAUCCCUAUGUGGUCUGGCCGCCAUUUUAAGUUCUGUGCGGCUGGCGGCUGGCUGUUGAAGUGGCGCAACUUGUGGGAGGGAAAAGCGAAGGGAGAAGGGGAAAGAAAUAGGGGGAGGUUAUUAUAUGGAGGAUAUUCAGCGGCUAGGCCGCGGCGAGGGAGAGUGUCAUUAUGUCACGGCGUGGCUCGUUUCUGACCCGUGUGUGACCUAGGAGCGGUCGCCUGGCAACAGGCAAGGUGGGCGAGAAGUGCUCUGGUCUCUCCGCUUGGCUGUCUUGCGGAAGCGAGAUCCGCACCCGCCCGCUUGAGCACCAAGCAAAGAGAAGGUGGUGCCCACACUAGACCCACACUAACCCGACAAGCAUUCCUUUGCCAGCCACCUGUUGCACCCCUCAGGGAUUCUUCCUUCUGCUACUCUCCGCUGGAAAGACGAAGAGGAAGCCUCUUCCUGCACAGGGAGACAGAGGAAGAAAAGUCCUUGGUGCAGUAUGGCUAGUGGUGACACAUACCAUCCGUGCGAGCAUCAGCGUGCACAAGAUGGAUGUUGAACCUAGUAGAUAGAGGCACAUUAGAGGAGAAUUGUGUACACAUAAUUCCCCAAGCUCCUUGGCUUAACAUCGGAACAGCAGCAGUCACUUUCCCUUCCUUAGGGCCACAUACUUGUUACAUGUGUGCUUUCUCCCCUAAGAUCUGGCAGCUUCUGGCCCAAUUCAACAUCAUAAUUACAAACAGGAAUAGAGCAAGAUGUAAAAGUAGCAGCUCCCUACAAAUCAGGUUUGGGACUGAUGAGCAGGAAUCCCUACAAAUCUAGCAUGUCUUGGGUUCUUCAGGAUCUUACCCCUUUCCAGAAUAAUGAAACUGCUUCAGCUGAUUCAGAACAAUUGGUCUUUCCCAGCCUUCCCUGGGGAUCUCAAGGACUGAGUCUGGGACUUUCUGGAUGCAAAGCAUGUACUCUGCAACUGAGCAACUACCCCAUUUAAAUUAUUCCAUGCCCUGCAAAGUGAGGAUACAGCACCAUCUGAGAACCACCAAGCAAGUUAAUGUCUGUCAGGAUAUAUGUGACUGAAUCCAACUUUUAAAACUGUCCUUGUAUUAACUUUUUAAAUGCUCCUACUCUGUAUUGUCUGUAAAUAUAUGCUAGAUGGAGACCA